UCCUGGAGGAGCGGAGGGAGGAGGGAUAACGGAGGGGAGGGGGAAGGCAUCAAAGACAUUUUUACAGAUAUGUACACACAUAAACCUAAUUCGCUAAUCAAUACAAUUACAGGAUCAGUGUUCUGUCAUAGCACAACAAGUAUCUGCUCGACCAGUUGAGUUUGUGUAACUCCUGCACCACCUUCCUCCUCCUCCUCCUCCUCACAUCCCUUUCUCACACACUUCAGCUCGUUACCUCACCCUUUUCUCAUUCCUACCCUCCUUCAGCAUGAAAGGCCGCCAUUUGAUUGAACGCACGGUGAAGAAGGUGAACAGCUGCAAUGCGAGCCUGACCUCACGUCCUCCAGCAGUCGGAGCAAAGAUGAGAAAAGCAAGGAGGCUGCAUCUUCAAAGGCAUGAAGACACUUUUAAAACAAAAAAAAUCAGUCCCUGGCCAUCAUCCAUCCCUCCCCUACACCAUCCAUCUCCUCACUUCCUUUCUUUCUCGCCCUGGUCUUGUCUCCAUGGCAACCCCCUUCGAGCUAGCCGCCCUUGGGUAUGUGCGUGUUUGGCGUACGUGUGUGUGAACAUGUGUGGGCAGGGAAGCUUGUUCCAGGCACAAAACUAAGGGCCUUUUUUGUCCCCAGUCUCCCCCUGGUCAUCUUGUCACAGGCGCUGCAGGGGAGCUCAGGGCUAGAGGGGGGGGGGGCAGUGAGGGAGGAGACAGUAGACUCAGGCUAGAGAGUAUUACCGAACAAGAACGCGGUGACACUCAUGAGGGGGCAACAGGAAUUUAAUGAGGGCCUUGGAGUGACCCCUUCUUAUGCGCCGUUUAGCACUUUCACACAUUAAGAGGAGGCUGAAAUCAGUCGAGGAACGUUGGAAAUUUGAUGACGCUCGCUCAACAUCAGAACAUCAGUGACUUCAACAAGGCGUACUACUGUAUGACAGUGUGCGUGUAGCCUCAGUCACACAAAUCAUCCAGUCUGAAAAGAAAUUAUUUCAUCUGUCGCAUUAGGAUUUAAAUGGAAGUUUUUGGCUGGACUUCAUUUGUUGCUAAAGUUAGCUUAAUAGAGAAGUGGCAGCAUGUCCUGAGUGAGAGAGUUCAUGACAUCCAUGGAAGUAGGAACUCAGCAUGACAGAUGCACAUUGUGUCUUAGUCACAGUGUCAGCUAAGGGUGUUCUUCCUUCAAAACAACAGAGGCGAGAGCACAGUGUAAUCCUGUUGCUCCUGAAAAUACCGUGGCUUCUUGGAACAUACAGCGAGUGCGCCGGAAUGAUCUCCACUGACAGAAAGACAUUUGGUGUUGAGAGGAAAAAAAAAGGUUUCCAGACUGAUCAUGAAGCCGCAUAACUGGCGAACAAUUGCAUUCUCUGCGAGACAUCAGGUGGCAACAAAAACAAAGGCAGCGACCUUUCCCAUGUGAGGCAGCGAAGGCGCAGUGCAAGUGGCACACUGUGAUGUACUGUCAGUGUAAGUGACACAGUGAAAAGCCUCAGAUAAAGCAGGCGGCGCACACAUGAAAGGGAAGCCAAGGGAGAAUAGAGCAGGGGAAGGGUUAGACAGAUGCAGUGUGACAGAGGAAGAGUGAGGAGGGGAGGUCUAAGGUGCAUGUCACCCUGCAACAAGUGCUAAAGCUGUGCGUGUGUGUGUGUGUGUGUGUAUGUUUGUGUGUGUGCGCGCGUGCGUCUGGGGGCUGCAAAGUGUAGGUGAUGCGUGUGUCCCCUGGGCUGGGACCAACAGAUGGGCCACUUCAUCCUUCAGGAGACACUGAGUCAUGAGACAGGCUGAGUGGAACAAAUGCAAUUUACAUGAGCACAGACCCACGUGCACUUACACGGGGAUUGGUCCUGUGCCAAUCAGGCUCCCGGAGAAAGAAAACAGGUCUGUAUCUGCACCGGAUACUACUGUAGCAAAAAGUUGAACCUAAACGAACUAAACCAAACACACUUAAGCGUAGAUGGUCACUGAGGUUGAGUAAACACAGGAGGAUGUAAACAAGAAGAUUAGAGCUGUAAAAAAUCUAAGUGCUGCUCAGUGAUUAUGUAAACACAUACACAAAGUACCUGGAAAUGUUUUAAUUUUCUGUUGCAGAGUGGAGGCUGAGGAAAACCUAAUAUACAGAAGAGGCUGUCUCUGCUGCAUGACCUUAUUUCCUUGCAUUCAAGUAAAUCAGUAGCAACGUUUACGGUGCUUGCACUAAAUCAAAGUUAGUUUUGAAGCCUGAGCUGUGACACACAUCUGCACUUACGUCCUGUGGGACCUGGAUGAAGCCAAAGGUGUACUCGGUGGCCUGCGCUGGCAGGGUCCUGGUGCUGAAGGCGGGGGGCAUGGCAGCCAGACGAGUGGAGGACACCACUUCUCUCUGAGGAGGACGUGGGAAGGACAGAUGUCAGCGUUUCACCAAACUGUUCUCAGGACAGAUUCAAUACCUGAGCUGAAAAAGUUAAUUAAAAAACUGACUUUGAAUGAAUCGGACGCGCGUUUGCAAUGAGUGUCAUCCGGUUCUUUUUACAGCUUCGCUAAAAGCAGCCAGGGGGGAUUUAGGGACAAACGUCUGACUUAUUCAAUAACAAAAUGAAAUUUAGUGUAACUGAAAGCUCACUUUGUGCAUCUGUCCAAUGAAAAUGCCUGUGAAAGGACAUGCUCAACAACACAGCACACACUCUCUGUAAUAACUGUCCCCGUCCCCUUUCAUGCGUUACUCCUUGAUUCUGAAUCAAUAUGUCAAUCUGUGUCCCUUUAACGGCGACGCUCCACGACUGUGAACACGGACAGAUGCCUUUUCACAACGUAUGGGCUACAUGCUUGUACACAGCGCUGUACCAAUGGCUCCACAGCUGUGUGUACAGCAGGAUGGAGGCUUCUUUUACUAAGCUCCAUCUGCUCUCGAGCUCAGCUAUAAGCUAAGAUUAAAGACGACGAUAGAUGUCCGACCGAUGGAUCAGCCAGCGAAAGGAGGCAGGGAAAACACUGUUAAUCUAGAAUUUAAACACAGAUAAUUGAAGGAUUGUUAAACAUGUACAGAGACAGUACCGUGGCAUUAGUGUGCACUGGAUCCAGUGUUUUCAUUCAUUUUUAUGUCUUUGCCUGCAUUUACAACCUAAUAAAUAUGCUUUUGUUUGUCUUCA